rnacentral:rRNA from 1 species
ACCUGGUUGAUCCUGCCAGUAGUCAUAUGCUUGUCUCAAAGACUAAGCCAUGCAUGUGUAAGUAUACAUGAUAUACAGUGAAACUGCAAAUGGCUCAUUAAAACAGUUAUAGUUUAUUUGAUAGAUUUAUUAUAUGGAUAACCGUAGUAAUUCUAGAGCUAAUACAUGCUUGAAAGCCUUACUUUUGCGGAAGGGCUGUAUUUAUUAGAUAAAGACCAACAUAAAGUGGUGAUUCAUAAUAACUGAUCGAAUCGCAUGGGCAAUGCCAGCGAUAAAUCAUUCAAGUUUCUGCCCUAUCAGCUUUCGAUGGUAGUGUAUUGGACUACCAUGGCGUUAACGGGUAACGGAGAAUUAGGGUUCGAUUCCGGAGAGGGAGCCUGAGAAACGGCUACCACAUCUAAGGAAGGCAGCAGGCGCGUAAAUUACCCAAUCCUGACUCAGGGAGGUAGUGACAAGAAAUAACAACGUGGGGCUUCGUUGUCUUGCGAUUGCAAUGGGUACAAUUUAAAACCCUUAACGAGUUACAAUUGGAGGGCAAGUCUGGUGCCAGCAGCCGCGGUAAUUCCAGCUCCAAUAGCGUAUAUUAAAGUUGUUGCAGUUAAAAAGCUCGUAGUUGGAUUUCUGGAGAGGUACAGGGCCCGUCCUCGUUGAUGGGCCUAGUCACCUUCUUCAUCCUUCUGUUAACGAUUCAUGGCAUUCAGUUGCUGGUCUCGGGCUCAGAUAUUUUGCUUUGAGAAAAAUUAGAGUGUUUCAGGCAGGCUUGGCCAGAAUACAUUA